GAUGAAGAACGCAGCGAAAUGCGAUAAGUAAUGUGAAUUGCAGAAUUCAGUGAAUCAUCGAAUCUUUGAACGCACAUUGCGCCCCUUGGCAUUCCUUGGGGCAUGCCUGUUCGAGCGUCACUGCAAACCCACUCAUAAAUAUUAUGGUAUUGAUGGAAGUGAACGGAACCAAUCUAUGUGUUCAGAUCAUCCCAUCGAAAUGUAUAAGCAGGACAAUCAACCUGUGCAAUGGACUUAGUAACUGUCUUGAAGACAUAAACCAGUUUGUUGCUUGGUUUUGACUUAGCUUCCAUGGACCUCCAUCCAAGAUAAUAAACUCUGGGUUGACCUCGGAUCAGGUAGGGAUACCCGCUGAACUUAAGCAUAUCAAUAAGCGGAGGA
rnacentral:misc_RNA from 1 species